rnacentral:rRNA from 1 species
UGGGGAAUUUUGGACAAUGGGCGCAAGCCUGAUCCAGCCAUGCCGCGUGCGGGAAGAAGGCCUUCGGGUUGUAAACCGCUUUUGUCAGGGAAGAAAUCUUCUGAGUUAAUACCUCGGGAGGAUGACGGUACCUGAAGAAUAAGCACCGGCUAACUACGUGCCAGCAGCCGCGGUAAUACGUAGGGUGCAAGCGUUAAUCGGAAUUACUGGGCGUAAAGCGUGCGCAGGCGGUUUUGUAAGACAGAGGUGAAAUCCCCGGGCUCAACCUGGGAACUGCCUUUGUGACUGCAAGGCUUGAGUGCGGCAGAGGGGGGAUGGAAUUCCGCGUGUAGCAGUGAAAUGCGUAGAUAUGCGGAGGAACACCGAUGGCGAAGGCAAUCCCCUGGGCCUGCACUGACGCUCAUGCACGAAAGCGUGGGGAGCAAACAGGAUUAGAUAGCCCUGGUAGUCCACGCCCUAAACGAUGUCAACUGGUUGUUGGGAAGGUUCCUUCUCAGUAACGUAGCUAACGCGUGAAGUUGACCGCCUGGGGAGUACGGCCGCAAGGUUGAAACUCAAAUGGAAUUGACGGGGUCAUAGCUGUUUCCUG